CGGAGUGGACGCAUCACUGGUGUUCGGGUUGUCAUGCCAAUGGCACUGCCCGGUAGCUAAAUGCGGAAGAGAUAAGUGCUGAAAGCAUCUAAGCACGAAACUUGCCCCGAGAUGAGUUCUCCCUGACUCCUUGAGAGUCCUGAAGGAACGUUGAAGACGACGACGUUGAUAGGCCGGGUGUGUAAGCGCAGCGAUGCGUUGAGCUAACCGGUACUAAUGAACCGUGAGGCUUAACCUUACAACGCCGAAGGUGUUU
rnacentral:rRNA from 3 species